UUGCUUUGGCAGCACGUAUACCAAAAUUGGAAUGAUACAGAGAAGAUUAGCAUGGCCCCUGCACAAGAAGGACACGCAAAUUCGUGAAGUGGUCCAUAUUUUU